rnacentral:sRNA from 1 species
AAUAUGGCGGAGGCGGAAGGGGAAAGCCUGGAGUCCUGGCUCAAUAAAGCCACCAAUCCUUCCAACCGCCAGGAGGACUGGGAAUACAUAAUUGGCUUCUGUGAUCAGAUCAACAAGGAGCUCGAAGGGCCACAGAUCGCCGUCCGACUGCUGGCCCACAAGAUCCAGUCCCCACAGGAAUGGGAGGCGCUCCAGGCCCUGACGUACCUGGGGGACAGGGUGUCUGAGAAAGUGAAGACCAAGGUUAUUGAGCUGCUGUACAGCUGGACCAUGGCCCUGCCAGAAGAAGCAAAGAUCAAAGACGCCUACCACAUGCUGAAGAGACAGGCUUUUAGCCAAACUGCUGAAAAGCAAAAACCCAGAUGACCUGCAGGAGGCCAACAAGCUCAUCAAGUCCAUGGUGAAAGAAGACGAGGCACGGAUCCAGAAGGUGACCAAGCGUCUGCACACGUUAGAGGAAGUUAACAACAACGUGAGACUGCUCAGUGAGAUGCUGCUUCAUUACAGCCAGGAGGACUCUUCGGACGGGGACAGAGAGCUGAUGAAGGUGGGACUGCCGACGGCAAAGACUGCCUCCCGGGGCUGCGCUGCCUUCCAGGAGCUCAGCCAGCAUUUGCCAAGCACCUGCCUUGUCAGAGACACAGCCUGUGCACUUGGCAGUGUAUUCAUGACCUUACUCAUCUGCACAACAGCCACGUCAGUAGAGGGUGGUGUCCCCAUUUGCCUCCUGGGAUCAGCUGACUUGUCCAGGGUGUAAGGGCCAGAUGGAAACCUGAGUCUGACUCCAGAGACCACGCCCUUGGUGCUCACCCCUGCUCUGUGCCUCUCCUUACUACCUUGGGGACAUCAAGACAGAGAGGCUUCCUUGUAACCCUGAUGCCCAUGUGGUGCAGGCCAUGGUUGGGUGGAUAUUUUGAGUUCUGAGGAACAUGCCAGCCUGGAAGGCAGGAGGGGACUGACUUCCCCUGACCCAUCCUGGUGACUGCUACCUAGACAAACAUCCUGGGUGACGUGGUGU